GGACAUGUGGUGUAGUUGGUUAUCACGUUCGCUUAGCAUGUGACUUGCGAAAGGGGCCCGGUUCAAUUCCGGGCAUGUCCA